UUUUAAAGACAGAGAAUGAAAAAAGUGUAAGAAAGGUUGGGUUAGGUUAGGUUGCAUUAAAAGCAUGUGCGAUGGCUAACAUCUGAUGCACGUGACAAGUGUUGACACUCAAAUCGAAACGAAAACACACAUCGUUACCUGAAAAAAUUUCUCCCGCGAAUGUUGCGUAUGAUUAAAUCAAGUUUGAUUCAAUCCGACUUUUGAGUAAUUAAGAUCCGAAGCCACACAAGCAAGUGGAAGAGGAAGAAAAAGAAUGUCGAAUGUGAUCGUGCUAAGUGAUUCGGACGAACCUGCGUCGCCCGCGUUUGUUGACAAAUGCAACAAGAAUGGAUCUGAAAUUAACGAAGAACAUCGUUUCAACAUUACAAGUGACUUCGACUUUCCGGAGGUACCGUUCUGUCGCGAGAUCGCAGAAAACUCGACGUCGCAAAGCGAGGAGGAUUCUCCCAAUUUGAAUGUUGACAAUGGCUACAAGUAUCCUGGACCAUCGCAUACCAUGUCCGAUUCUCACGACUCGGAAGAUAAUCGGGUCGAAAAGCCUUCGCGAAAAGCGACUACGCGUAAAAAAGAUAAGACGACAUUAAAGGAGGAACGACUGAGAUGUCAACAAGCGCGAGCGAGAGAGAAGGCGUUGAAGGCGAUCGAAAAGAAAAAGUCUAAAGACAUAAAGCCCGGAGAAUGCUUGAAAUUUAUGGAAGUUAAUCUUGAUCGAAAUAUUGCGUUUGCUUUUCGUACAGAAAUUGAAAGCGCGUUGCAAAGUGCUGAUAUUAAAAUUAACGUAACUACCGAGUUAAUUCCAAACAGUAUUACAUGGCAAAGGAACAUCGAAAAGAACUAUGUCAGUGAAGAUAAUGAAGUGCAUUCAAACAAAAGUGUACAGACAGAAGAAUACGUUAUCGUAAUUUGGAACAAUUAUGAAGCAGUAAAACAUGUGGCAGAAGGUACUGUCUGCACUUCCAUCUCACGUAUUAAGUCUCUGAUUCCAAAUUAUAAUAUGACUCUGGUUAUCUUUGGCAUGGAAGAGUAUUUCACGUAUCGGAAGAAACAGAAAACGGAUCAGAAUUCUAAAAGUAAAGGAUCGAGAUAUAACAGUAAAAGUAAUCAGCAUUUUGAAACAUUCCCAACUAUAUCGAGACAGCAGUUGGAAAUGUGCCUAACUGAAGUUCAGAUAGUAGCCAAAUGUAGCAGCAGAUUAAUUGAGAAUGCACAGGAUCUAGGUUUAAUGGUGUAUCAAUAUACAAAGUCUAUUUCGGAAAUACCAUAUAAAUUACAGAAGAAGGAAAGUCAGGUAGAUAAAUUUGACUGGUAUGUUAUGGGAGACAAUAAGAACACUGUGCGUGUGGACAAAGAUGGAAAUGGAUUGAAGAGAUUAUGGCAGCAGCAGUUGUGCCAAUUUAAUUUAAGUAGCUUGGAAACAUCAGAAGCGAUAUGUACAGUUUAUCCUAGUCCAAUGCAACUGAUCAAGGCUUAUAGAAAUUGUACACCUGACGAAGGCAUGAAUUUAUUGAAAGACAUACCAAUUAGGAGAGCAGUGGGACCUCUCACAGCUGUACGUAAAAUCGGUCCUGAAUUAAGUAAAAAGAUAUAUGUGAUGUUUACCUCGCAAAACGGAGAUGCUCUAUUAGGAACUGACAUAUAGGAGUCGUUGUGGAGGAUGUUAUGCUACUCGCCAAUGAAUUGGUAGUCGUUAGUAGAAUACUGGAAGCCGAUGAUACACGGGUGGAAGAUGUACCACUCGUGAGCGCAAUCGAACUCUUUCCACUUUGUAAAAGAUUUGACAAUGUGCCAGUUGUCGCACAGGCAGGUUUACUACUUCCCGCUAUUUAAUCGAGAAAGGAAGAAUGUCGCUUCCGUUUCAAAGUGGAGAUAUGAUUUGCGUGUUGUCCACUCACCUGCACAAGGUUAGACUGAGUACUGAAGGUACCAAUUUUGGAAGGCGAAUUUGUCGUCGUGUUUGUCGCAGCUGAUGGCACAGAGGAUACCGGUGUGUUUGGCCGGGAUUUUUUCACGGUUGGCGAAUUAGGUUCGCUUUCCAUGGAACUACUCGUCGAGUUUCUUCGUUUAUGAGAUUCUUUUUUAUUCUUGUUCUCGCAAACAGUUGGCAUCGCGGAUCGCAACGGUUGCGGUUGCAGUAGAAUGCUACCGAUAAAGUCGCCAAUUUCGUCCAAUAUACAUCUAUCCACCAUGCUCUGUGUGAUACCCUCUAGUACUUUCUUGGACGUAGAUAUUCUGAGAUAAUCGUCGGCCGUACCUACGAUCACUAGACUCGUCUCCACGAGCAUCUUUUCCCGGAGAUGCUCUAAAUCAUCUGGUCUAACGAGAGUGGCGUUUUGUCCGAUAAUAAACAUAAUAGGGCAGCGAAUAUCCAUCAACAUGUCGUCGGGUGUACCACGUUUUCCUUCGACCGUCGCGAAAGGAAAUCCGAUACAGAUAACAGCGGUUACAUGUUCCAUUUGGGCAAUCUACACCAUGGAAUAAGGAAAAAUUAAUAAUAAGAAGAGAGAGAAAGAGUAAAAUACAUAAAUGGAAAAGGGUAAAAUAAACUUACCUGACAAGCAAGUGCUGCACCAGUAUUGAAACCUACGAGGAUGAUGGAUCUACCAGGACAAUCGCUCCUAACAUCUUGUAUCUUGGCUCUCGUAGCUUGAACUAAUUGAUCAAUGCAUA